CGGCUUCUUGUAGAAUUUAGCAAAAGUCUUUUCACUGGUCCAACCAGCUCUUCGUAAAAUACAUUCCACAGGAAUCAGAUUAUGGAAAGCCUUAGAAACAACUGCUGAUCUAGCGCUAUGCGAAGAAUAAGAUUUUAAAUUAAUUCCUGAUUUAGACAUCACAGUUUUGAUCCAUCUGCUAAUUGUUUCUCUUGAAACGGCUUUAAACG
rnacentral:lncRNA from 1 species